rnacentral:rRNA from 1 species
AGAGACAGCAGUAGCCGCGGUAAAACGUAUGUCACAAGCGUUAUCCGGAUUUAUUGGGCGUAAAGCGCGUCUAGGCGGUUAAUUAAGUCUGAUGUGAAAAUGCGGAGCUCAACUCCGUAUUGCGUUGGAAACUGGUUGACCAGAGUACUGGAGAGGUAAGCGGAACUACAAGUGUAGAGGUGAAAUUCGUAGAUAUUUGUAGGAAUGCCGAUGGGGAAGCCAGCUUACUGGACAGAUACUGACGCUAAAGCGCGAAAGCGUGGGUAGCAAACAGGAUUAGAUACCCCAGUAGUCCCUGUCUCUUAUACA